CUGAGUUCAAGGUACAGGUGUGAAUGCUCAUGUAUACAACGAGAUCCCCCAGAUUAUCUCUGAUAUUGUGGAAAAAACUUGCAUAUUUCAGCUCAAGUUAGUCAAGUUCAAUUUCACAUCCAAGCACUAGACCUUCACCAUACCCCGUAUCAUCAGUGAGAAUCAGCAUCCACCAUUCCCAGACUUUGUUAUACAUGAAGAUGGUCAGGAACCUAGUGAUGAUGUGCCUAUGGAGAAACUGGUAGCAUCUAAUGGCUUUCUUGGUGCUGAUAACACUUUGGCAGAGGUAGCAAGUGGUGUGCGAGCAGAAGGUGGUGAAACUACAACUGCCAACCAUCAGCCAUCCUCAUCUAUUGUUGCAGGAUUAGUUCGCUCUGCAUCUACCAUUCCCAAUUCCCAUACUUGACCCACAUGAGAAUCGAAAAAGAAGUCCCGCAUGGCAUAGCUAUAGUUGCCGAAGCAAUAUCCCCACUUACUAUACUUACUAAACAAAACUCUCUUUGUGACAAAAAAAAAAAACAAAACUCUCUAUUUUAUUGUUACAUUAAUGUCGUUGUGGCUGUUUGAACUAUUUCUGCAAGUUUUAUUAUAACAAGGCUUCGUUUUAUUUUAACACAUUUGCACUUAUAUGAACUUGCAUGCUUUCCAAGUUAUAUAUUUUUGUGAAACAUGUACCAAUGUAAUGUCGUACCUAUAUAUCAAAAACUAUUGAUAAAGAAUAAAAAUACAUUGGUGAGUGGUAACGGUGCAUUCUUCAGACUUUAAUAAUUCUCCAAAAUAUAUAAAAUAGCAUAAUAUAUAAACAAUGUUAGUAAAAAAAGAAAAAAAAAUAUAAACAAAUGAUGAGAUUGGUCAAAACAUUUUUUGAAAACAAUAUAUUUAAUUGUUUUUCCUCAUUUGGUAAAUUUGCCUUUGCCAGAACAAAAUUUUCUCACGCAGUUACAAAAGAAAAAGGAAGAUUUUUUCUCACCUAUAAAAUAUUAAUAACUCUUUCAUUAUAUGGUGUCAUAUUGUGAAUAUAUUUUAAGGUUUCACGGCCAGACUGAGUUCCACAACCACAAAUGCAUAUGUUUAAAAAAAUUGGAGUCGUCAAAGCAUUAACUCAAUUUAAUAGUUAACAGGUUACACACGUUUAAAUUCAGAUUAGUUUUCUAUAUACUGUUCACAUAGUACUUUAACAUUAUAAGUAUGUUCUUUAAACAAAACAUCAACUUUAUUUUAUGUUUAAAUUCUAACUAAAUUAACUUUGUUACGAUUAUUUACUUUUUAUUAUACUUUUAUUGAAUCGAUUAAUCACAAUCACUUAUGCUAUUCUAUUUUACACCAAGCAACUUCAAAACAAAGCAAUACAUUACAGUCACUAAUCAUUAUCAAAUGGAUCGGAAAAAUAUCAUUCUCUUUUAACAUAUUUUCAUUUAUAUAUUUUUAAACAUAUUUUCUUCACUAAAACCAUAAGAUGAAUUGUAAAUUUAUUUCAGAAUAAAAUAUACGAACUCAGCGCGUAGCACCGAAAUACCACUAGUAGUUAUAUAUAAAAGAGAAAAUUCUCUUCUCUUAUGCUGCCACAUCUUCACGAAAUAUGAGCAAAAGAGGACACCUAUCCAAUUCUAUAUAUCUGAAGAAAAGACGAAACUUUCGUUUACUUCUUUACGACCUUUUACUAACCUGGUUUUAUAGGGUCUGUAUGCCUAAAGCCCAUAUAAAUAAUCUGGCCAUUCUUUCUAGACCUAAUGUUGUCUAGCAGGAAAAAAAAAUCACACGGACGAUUGAAAGUAACGUUUUUCUUUAGCAUUCAAGAGUCUCAUAUAAUGAUCGCGAUAACAACUACUAAACCACUCUCUCCACUCCUUCGAAUUGAUUUUAUCGUACAUCUUUCCAUGGUAACGUCUGAAACCUAGGGUUAUUAAAGCCCAAUACGAUGAAGCAACCAAGGUUCGAGUCCCGACCACUAAAGAAUUAACAUUUCGGCAUCACCAAAUACAUGAGACCGACACGUGGAAACACAUGAUUAGUCUGGACCACUUCUAUGAGGUCGGAAUAUUUUUGUAUAAUUCAAAAAAAGAAGAAAAAAAAGAUAGAUAGAUUAUAGAGUUUAAUUACUGAAAUCACUAAAAUAAAGAUGUAAAAUUUUUAUAUUGGUUUACCAUUGACAACGUACAGAUUUAGUCAAAGAAACGGCAUACAGUCGUCGGUUUAAAAUCUCAGUAGAAAGACAUCAACGUGCAAUGGUGUUCACUAGUAUACAGAAAUUAUUAAAAACAUAUUUUUAAAUACAUGCAUUAAUAAGAUACAUUCUAACGGUUUCUGCAUAUAUCGAAUUCCUGUUUUAAGGCUUGAGACCAAGAGUGAGCUCAAGGGACGAUUCUUCUUCACCUUUGGAAGCCUUUGUUGAUUUUACUGACACAGUAACAACAUUACCAUCAUCUCCAAUAUCACAAACAAUUUUACCAUUGUCAUCAUCAGCUUUACUUUUACUAACUCGGACCUGUUAAAGCAAAAGUAUAUAACUAAUUAUUUCUAAACUAACAUCUCUGUUUUUGCAAGCUGAGAUGGACACAUGCCGGUUAAGAUGAUAUCAAAAUCCUUUUCAUGUUUUCAUCGUUAUAAAUAUCAUUAUUUAUAUUAUUAAAAUAGAAGUACAAAUAGAAAUCUCCUUAAUUGUACUACUUAUUUACAUUAGAAUCCCACUGAGAUAUUUAUUGAACAUAUAUCUAAGCAUGCUUGUCUUUUCCUAAUUUGAACAAUAGAUUUAAUUCUCCAAUAUUUUUCAUAAUUUAAAUAAUAGAUUUUUUAAUCGAAUUUUAACCAAAAUAGAUUUCUCAGUAGAUUUCCCUAUUUAUUUUGUAUUAACAUAUUAAAUAUUUUUUAAAUAUUUUAGUAAUAAAUAAUAAUGUAAAAACCACACAUCAUAAUCAAUUUAUAUAAUAUAUAAAUAAAAAUAUAAAAUAAACUAUUCAUACAUUAUUGGUAUAAUGUUUUCAUAUAUAUAAGUCCAAUUAUUUAAAAAUAUUGUAUUUACUUAUAUGGUACACUGUGAUCUAAUUGACGAUUAAAAUCACAAAAAUUUAUAUUAUUAAAAUACAAGUACAAAAUAGAAAUCCCCUUAGUUUUACUACUUAUUUACACUAGAAUGCCAUUGAGAUAUUUAUUGAACAUAUAUCUAAGUAUGCUUAUCUUUUCCUAAUUUAAACAAUAGAUUUAAUCCUCCAAUAUUUUCUUAAUUUAAAUAAUAUAUUUCAAAUCAAAUUUUAUUCAAAAAAGAUUUCCCUAAAUAUUUUGUACUAAUAUAAUAAAUAUUUUUCAAUAUUUAUUAGUAAUAAAUAAUAAAGUAAAAACCACACAUCAUAAUCAAUUUAUAUAAUAUAUAAAUAAAAAUAAAGUAUUCAUAAUUUAUUGGUAUAGUGUUUUCAUAUAUAUAAAUCCAAUUAGUUAAAAAUAUUGUAUUACACUGUGAUAUAAUUGAUGAUUAAAAUCCCAAAAAUAUAAUUAUUCAAAGUAAAAAAAAAUUUAUGUUUUAAUGUAAUAUAAAAUUUUUGUUAAUACAUUUAAAGCCAACGGGUCACAAGCUCUAGAAAUAUAUUCAAACUAAUAAAUAAAAUUAUUAUGUUUUAAAAUGUUAUAUAAAAUUUUUUUUAAUAAAAUUUGUUAAUAUAUUAUACCAUUUAGUAUAAAAAAGUUUUGAAGUAAAAAAAAAUAUUCAGACGGUCACGGCCUGGUUCUAGAAAUAAAAAAUAAUAGUGCAUGAUAAUUUUCUUGAACAAAUUUAUUUUAAUAGAAAUUAUCAUUACAAAUAUUUUUAUAUAUUUUUGGAUUUAUAAAAUUUAUUUCACUUAUUUGUCAGGGGUGCUAAACUUUUUGGAAUUAGAAAUAAUUAUGACUCACCCCUAUACUAUUUUAUUUUUUGUUAUAACUGCAUAGUUUAGAUUUUGAUCUAAAUUUAUAAACCGAAGGUGUAACUUUAUUUUGUGAUAUACGUGUGUGUCUGUGAAAAUAAUUCAAAAUAUAUACUACAAAACUUUAUUGAGUUAGAGUAAACAAAUAUAUGAUUUUAAAAAUCAUGAAGUUAUCUGCAAAGAUGGUGGUAGAAGAAAAAGUAGAAAACCAUACAUGUUGACUAUAACAUUAUUUUGUUUGAAAAUAUGGUUAAUGUUAAGAAUAUUUACUAUUAAAAUGUAGAAAUAAGAUUUUUACUAUAUAGAAAUGAAAUCAAACAUCCGCGCGGGAUUUAGCUUCUAAUUAAUAAUCUACUGAAAUUAAAUUUCAUAUAUACGCUUCACUUUUAACUACAUGUUUAUACUAGACUUACAAGCUGCAUAAGCAUUAUAUUGUUAUCAACUCACAAAAUAUUUAACAAAAAUAAAUAACUAUUCACUAAAUACAAUUGAUAAAAAAAACAAAAUUAUAAAAACAGGGUAGACAAAUUUCGAUAAACCAUAUAUAAUGAGCAAUACACUUGGAAAUAAUAUAUGGCAUGUUGAACUUAUAUAUAAAUAUGUAUAUCAUUCAAGUUUAUAUAUAUAUUUUUCAACUGUAUAUGUUAGUGUAUAAUAUAUAUCAUUUAUGAUAGUGUAAGAAAUGUAUAGUGAGAUAAAUUUUACUAGUGAUGACUAAAAGAACAAUCUGGUAGUAUAUAUCAAUGAUUUCUUUUCUUUCGAUAAACCAUAUAUAUAGUGACAGAAAAUUCAUCGAAAAUUUACCCUUGAAGACUCAUAGAGAGACGUGCAAGUAAAAUAGUCACUUGGUACGUCCUUAAUUCCAUUACUUGAUUCUCCAAAUGUUAUUAUGUUUUCAUACAUUUCGUCUUCUCGCCUACAAUAAAUUCAUAUAAAAAAUGUAUACAUAUAUAGUUGUGGUUCACAUUUAAACCAAGAAGUGUUGACAAAAAAAAACCCCAGAUGUAUAUUAAUAAACUUUUCAAUUAAUAUAUAACUAGACGAUACCUUAGUUGAUUUUGGAAAAGGUUGGCAUUGCCUCGGAGACGUUGAUAAUUAUGAAGGUACUGUUGAAACUGCCACCAAGUCACUUCUCCUGUCACUCUAACACUUCUCUUUGCUAAUAUCUCGUCUGCCAAAUAUUGCAUGUGUAUAUGCAAGCAUUAUGUUUUUUUCUUUUGAAAAUGCAAGCAUUAUGUUGAACAUCAAUGUACGGUCCUACCGUCCUAAACAAAUACAUACAAUACGUACAUCAUCCUAUAAUGUUAAAUUGAAAUGUAAUUUUUACCUUGCAUGGAUUCUUCCAACUUCAUGCUCCUAUACAUCUGUUGGAGAGUAACUAAGAGAUAUGGUUAUCCAAACUAAAAUCUAUUAACUAUGGUUUUACAAAAAAAAAAAUCUAUAAAGUAAGAUGCUGUUCAUAAAUACACGUAUAAUGAUAUAGGUAGGUUAUCUAUAAGUAGCUAUAUGUAUACAAAUUUUAGGACCUGGAGAUGACUCUUCACAUGAGAUAUUGUGAGUCCUCUUACAUCCAUUAACUGUAAAACCAUCUUAGGAGUUGCUCCUGCAUUUUUCAGAAAAAUAUGAAAUUCAGACGCAUGUGACAACCCAGGAUAAUAAAUUUGUAAAUAUCUUGAUUUUGAGUGAAACGAAAUAGAAAAGGGUCUUGACUGCCAGAAGCCAAAGAAAUAACCUCAAAAGGAAUACAAUUUCCAUGAUUGAUAAACUUUACUUAAAAAAAUGUUUUUCUUUUAAGUACUAGAACUAGAACAAAUGUUGUUGACAGAAUUUGAGAAAUUCUUCAUUCUUGAGAUAAUUAGUAACUAUAAUUUUAGAAGAGAAAGAAAACUGCUUACUAUGUUCUCCACCUAGUUGUUCAACGGCUUGAACAAAAGAGUUGUGAAGAUCAGAAUUCCAUCGCAGCCGCGGCACUUUUGACCUAACAUAUGAUCUAACGAUAGGGGUCUUCAUCGUUUCUUUUCCUAAUAAGCUUACAAUUUGUUCGAAAACUCUCGGUCGAUUCAAUAUGGUUGCAGCAAAUCAGAAAGGGGCGAAGGCAACUGCUAGAAAAUUCUCUAUUUUCAGAUAGGCAAAUUUUGUAUGUUGGACUAGUUGUCUUCGUAACCCCUGUCUUAUUUUUUACUUUCUCAUUUUUCUUAGUGGGGAAAAACGGGAAAUGUAGACCUUAAAAAGGAGAUUAAAUUAUUUUAAAUUUGUUGUUGUGAUUUGUCAUGUUGCGGUGCUUUUCGUCAAUAUAUUUUCCGUUUCUGUGAAUUCCUUUGUAUAUCCGAGAGAAAGAAUUACUCGACACCUCAAGUCUUGUUUCUUGUGACAAUAUGUAUGAGAACUUCGUCUAAAACACUCAAACCAUAAACCAGUACUUCUUAUUAUUUUUUUAAACAAUGGUAGAAGCCAAAAAGAAAGUCAGGUUAAUUAAAUGACGUAAAACUCAUGUAGCAUAUAUAAUUAUUUUGAGCCAAAUGAUUUAGAUAAUCAAAUAGUAUUCUAAAAAACAAAAUAAGUCAUAUAAUAUAGUGAAUUAUCAAAAGUUUAUAAAAAUAAAGAAUGACGGUAUUUCAGGGUUUUGCAUCAAUUCCUUGACUAUUUUUAUUGUCUUUGAUAUCAUGACAAAAUGUUGGUCAGAAGACUCCACUUGAUCAAUAUUCAUCUUCUCGUCAAGAAUAUAUAUAAGAAAACUAAAUGGUUUAAAUUCGCAUUAAACAUAAUGACGAACAUGCUAACUAAGACAAAUGAUCUACUACUUAACUAAAACAAAAGUUAGUUUUAAAUAAAGAACGAUAUCUAAAUAUCAUGGAGAAAUUGCUUGAAAUACCAUAAUUUGACUACAAUUUUUCAAAUAUUUUGUAAGUUAUUUUUAAAUAUUAUAUAAAUUAUUUAGGAGGAUUAUCAUAAACAUAAGUUAUUUAGAAAAAUGGUUAUCUUUAAACAUUAAUUUGAUAUUAAAUUUGUGGUAAAAUUAAAAUUCCAUCAUUAUUAUGUACUAGUUAGAAAUAUAAAUUUAGAAUAUUUUCAAUAAAUCUAAAAUGUUUAAAAUUACUGCAGCGGAGUUAAAAGAGUAAUAUAUAUGGAUUAUCUAGAUUUCCAUUAUAUUUAUAUUUACAAUAAUAAAAUAGUUCUAAGAGCUAUGCUAAAUAGCCAAAGAAAGAGACUUAGGAUAUGACUAGUGAAAACACAUAGGUUGCGGGAGUUUAUGGAUGCUUGUAGUUUUGAAUGUUACUAAGUGAUUUGUAUGAUUAGUACAUCGGUUAGAAAUUAGUACGUUCAAUAACGAUUUAUAAAUAAAUUAACAAUAUUAAUAUUUUAUAUAAUUAUAAUAUAUGAAAAUGAUAUUACUAUACUAAACAUAAAGUUAAUAUUAUAUUUUAAAUUUUGUUUUUGGGUUUAUAUAUAUCUAUAUAUUAAUGUUAAAAAUAUAGUAAAUAUGAUGUUUCAAAGUUUUAUAUAAAUUUAAAUAUAAUACAUAUAUUAGUAUUUAUAUUAUCUCACUUUUAAACAAUUAACUAAAUAUUAUUAUUUUUAUAUUUAUAGUUUUAAACUAAAUAUAUUUGUAUUUAAUUUCCUACAACCAUCACAACCGCAACUGCUAGUCGAAAUUUAUUUUUUGAUUUUGAAAAUUUUAGAACAAUAUAAAACAGAUUACAGAGUUUUUUUGUAAUUGUUAUAUAACACCAAAAAUCAUUAUCAUCCGCAAACGCAAGUGCAUUAAUGAAAUCAUUAUUUAUACUAAAACAGGGAGAACAUAAAGAAAUAUUGUACAAGAAAACAGAAAUUUCAAUACCAAGAAUAAUCAUAAAUGGUAAUUAAGAUGCUAUAUAGGUACAACAAAAGUUCAUACACAAGAAAACAGAAAUUAAUAACAAUUUCAAUUUAAUAUUAUUGUUUGUGUAACUGACGCGACUUGGUCCUUCUAAUUCUCUCCAAAAUGACAAAGAGUAACAUCGUAACUCGGGAAUAUACUUAUUCAAAGCAGAUUCAAAGCGAUGUGUUUAAAAUUGCCACUACGUUGUGUCCAAUGAUCACUAUUCAAAAUUGUUUCAAUUUUUUAACCACGUGAACACGAAUUCAUCCAAUAUAUAUAGAGAGGGUCAGAGAUGUGGUUUCAGAAAAUAACCCUAGUUACUAAUCUUGUUAUUAAUUAAUGUUUUAAAACAUACGAUCUACGGCGUUCAAUAUGACGUUGUAUUAAAAUAGUGUAAUGCAUGUAUAUAGGUUCACGGAAUGUACGAAGCUGAAUAAAAAGAAUACAAAAUCAAAGAUAAUAACGCUCUAGGGUUUUCUACAGCGACUGGAAUGGUGAUUCUUUAGAUCAAAAUUUCUUUGAAAUUUUGAUCUCCUCCAGAUCAAUACGCUCCUUGGUGUAUUGGUUCAUUACAUUCAUUGGUGUAUUACGGUUGUUGUUGCUUGUAGACGACCAGUUCAUCAUUUUGUUCUGGUUACGUUUUCGGUUGAUUUUGCUGGAUCUCCUGAUUCUCAUCGAAUCUACUUGUUUUAAUUGAUCUAUCGAAGGUAUCACUACCUCGAAGGUUUCAUCAGGCCUACCCUAUCAAUCAGGUUCUCUGACCUAGCUAUGCUCGACAGAAGUGAGAUUGAAGAUGGCGGCCUCUGAUAUAAACGUUUUUUGGCGUUAGAUUUCACCUUUUGGCUGCAGCAGAUCAUCGUUUCUAUCUAGUUAUCUUGUCUUCAUCAUCACGACACCGCAAUCUCGAGUUUUCUUCACUAAUUUAGUCGAACAUACAACUACUGGAUCUUUCCAUAAGACUCUUACGUACGUAGAUUUGUGAAACCUUAUCCUCGUAUGGGUCCAUCAAACCGUGUUAGAUCUGCUCAUAUGGAAGAUACAAAAGGGAAAGGUAUUAUUUAUGAGGAUGACGAUGAGCCUAUUAUGUUGGAGGAACAAGAUGAUUCUCAUACAAUCCGAAAGUUUCGUAUGUCUCUCAUUGGAAAAGUUCUCAAUCCUAAAAAUCAGAAUGUUGAGAAACUGUUACAAUUUAUGCCCACUCAAUGGAAAAUGGAAGAUUGUAUCACUGCAAAUUAUCUUGGUAAUGGGAAGUUUUUGUUUAAUUUCUCAUCAGAGGAUGACAUUCAAGAAGUUCUAAGGCAAGGUCCUUUCACUAUAACGUUUGUAUGUUUGGCUUGGUGCGAUGGGAACCCAUUGUGCAUGAUGACUAUCCUUGGAUCAUCCCAUUUUGGGUGGAGAUCACCGGCAUACCUCUUCAUCUAUGGACUGUGAAGAACAUUGGUGGGAGACUUGGUCACAUUGAUACUAUGGAGUUAUCUGCGGGUAGGCUGCUAAUAGAUGUUGAUUAAAGAAAGCCUCUUGUGUUUGCAAGAAAGGUACAAUCCACAAGCGAAGAUGAAGUGACAAGCAAGAUAAAGUAUGAAUUGUUGUUCAGGCAUUGUAACUACUGCGGUCUGAUGACUCAUGAGGAGUCAUAUUGCUCCAAGAAAUUAGAAGAGACAAAAUCUCAGCUGGCUAAGACUGAUCUCUUUUCUCGUGUACAACUCCCUCAGUAUAAUAGUAUUCCUCAGAAAUUGUUGUCGGAUCAUAAUGGGCGACGUGAUACGAUCGUUAUGACAAGAGAUAUAAUGAUCAGAGCUCUCAACUGAACCACAGUGAAGCUAUUCCGUUCAAUGCACAAUGUACAGACCAUCAUAGGUACGUCUGAGAUGAUAGACAUGGCUUCACUAAUAAGGAUGGAGGUGGAGAAAACAUCGAUAUGGAGACAAGUAUGGUGCGGUGAGGACAUUUACUGCACGGUAUAGAGAUCUUAUGCUCCAUAUGAGCAUAAGAAAUAUCAAAAAUGGCGAGAAAAGUAGCACCGAGCUGAGGAAGCUGGUAGGUUUAAACCACAAAAGCCGUUUCUCAUUUCAGAGGGUUCGUCUAGCAAUGUAUCCCUAAGGAUUAAUGAUACUUUAUGGGAGAAACCCAACGAUGUGGGAUAUGGAGAAUAGCACCAUAGUUACUCCUUCUCGUAUUGAUCUUCAUAACGAGGAGAACGUAAUGAUAUGUGGUCGUGAAGUUGUAAAGGCGAUAACUUUCUCUCCUAUGGAGGAAGAGAAUCAUGAGAAUUUUAAUAAUGAAGACCAAAUGAUUAAUGCGCUUCAGGAUAUGGAUAUUUUUGGAUCUUCUAGUAUUGCGUUCGCUGAUCAUGAUUCGAGGAUGGUAUGUGAUGAUGAAGGUAAUGAUUUACUUGGAGAAGAUCUUAAGUAGAUGGAGAUAAAUGCUGUGAGUUCGAAGAGUUCUGGUUCAAAGGUGGGUCGCAAACCUAGAGGUCAGUCGUCAAGCCGAAGUGGAACACAAUUGGGUGUAUGUGCUGGUGCGCCUUUCAUAUUGCAGAUCAAAAAGGCCGCGUUCCUGCGUAGAGGCUCACCAAGAACACGCCAAUCGCUCCAGCGAAUUUUCCUUCAUAUGAGGUAAGUAAAAGCCAGUGGCAUCGACACAUAGGUACGAGUAAAGCAAGCAACUGUUCUCUCAAAGAUAAUGGUUUGGAUGGGUCCAAAAACCCUCUCAAAAAUCAUAUAUGAGGACAAUCAGUUGGAACUGUCGAGGGAUUGUGAACAACCUCACAGUUUGAUGCCUUACAAAGAUGUGUCAGAAGCAUCACCCAUGACUUGUGUUCCUUUAUGAGAAGAAGAACAUGAGCUUGCUGUUGCAAAACAUUCAUGCUGACUUAGGUUUGAUCAUUUGUUUAUCGUUGAGCCACUUGGUCUGAGCGGAGGUUUAGUUUUUUUUCUAUGGAUGAAUUUCAUGUUAAUGUUUUAUUUCCGAAUAACAUAAUGAUUGACAUUGAGGCAGUCUUUGAUGGAAUAAAAGUUAUAUGACGUUUGUUUAUGGACACCUUGUACUAGAAAGAAGAGAACAAGUUUCAGAACGUCUUACACAUUUCGCAACAACAAAAAAUGGACCUUGGUUUAUGAUAGGAGAUUUUAAUGAAAUCACUGGCCAUAAUGAAAAUAAAGGAGGAAGACAACGUUCAGACAGCUUACUUUUACUUUUUAGGCAGAUGUUAAGCGAUUGUGGGAUGUUGAAAUUCCCAUUUACGGUGAACAUGUUAUCAUGGGUAGGAAAGAGAGCAGGAAGAACAACUGUUAGAUGUCGCCUAGACAGAGCUAUUGGAAAUGAAGACUGGCAUGA